rnacentral:rRNA from 1 species
AUUGAACGCUGGCGGCAGGCCUAACACAUGCAAGUCGAACGGUAACAGGAAGAAGCUUGCUUCUUUGCUGACGAGUGGCGGACGGGUGAGUAAUGUCUGGGAAACUGCCUGAUGGAGGGGGCUAACUACUGGAAACGUUAGCUAAUACCGCAUAAUGUCGCAAGACCAAGGAGGGGGACCUUCGGGCCUCUUGCCAUCGGAUGUGCCCAGAUGGGAUUAGCUAGUAGGUGGGGUAACGGCUCACCUAGGCGACGAUCCCUAGCUGGUCUGAGAGGAUGACCAGCCACACUGGAACUGAGACACGGUCCAGACUCCUACGGGAGGCAGCAGUGGGGAAUAUUGCACAAUGGGCGAAAGCCUGAUGCAGCUAUGCCGCGUGUAUGAAGAAGGCCUUCGGGUUGUAAAGUACUUUCAGCGGGGAGGAAGGGAGUAAAGUUAAUACCUUUGCUCAUUGACGUUACCCGCAGAAGAAGCACCGGCUAACUCCGUG